UGAGUAACCUGCCCUGGACUUUGGGAUAACCCUCGGAAACGGGGGCUAAUACCGGAUAUGACGACUCACCGCAUGGUGUGGUUGUGGAAAGUUUUUCGGUCUGGGAUGGGGCUCGCGGCCUAUCAGCUUGUUGGUGGGGUGAUGGCCUACCAAGGCGACGACGGGUAGCCGGCCUGAGAGGGCGACCGGCCACACUGGGACUGAGACACGGCCCAGACUCCUACGGGAGGCA
rnacentral:rRNA from 1 species